rnacentral:rRNA from 1 species
GAUGAACGCUGGCGGCGUGCCUAAUACAUGCAAGUCGAGCGAACGGGCGAGAAGCUUGCUUCUCUGAUGUUAGCGGCGGACGGGUGAGUAGCACGUGGAUAACCUACCUAUAAGACUGGGAUAACUUCGGGAAACCGGAGCUAAUACCGGAUGAUAUUUUGAACCGCAUGGUUCAAAAGUGAAAGACGGUCUUGCUGUCACUUAUAGAUGGAUCCGCGCUGCAUUAGCUAGUUGGUAAGGUAACGGCUUACCAAGGCAACGAUGCAUAGCCGACCUGAGAGGGUGAUCGGCCACACUGGAACUGAGACACGGUCCAGACUCCUACGGGAGGCAGCAGUAGGGAAUCUUCCGCAAUGGGCGAAAGCCUGACGGAGCAACGCCGCGUGAGUGAUGAAGGUCUUCGGAUCGUAAAACUCUGUUAUUAGGGAAGAACAUAUGUGUAAGUAACUGUGCACAUCUUGACGGUACCUAAUCAGAAAGCCACGGCUAACUACGUG